rnacentral:rRNA from 1 species
UGGGUGUAAAGGGAGCGUAGGCGGGGAGACAAGUUGAAUGUCUAAACUAUCGGCUUAACUGAUAGUCGCGUUCAAAACUAUCACUCUUGAGUGCAGUAGAGGUAGGCGGAAUUCCUAGUGUAGCGGUGAAAUGCGUAGAUAUUAGGAGGAACACCAGUGGCGAAGGCGGCCUACUGGGCUGUAACUGACGCUGAGGCUCGAAAGCGUGGGUAGCAAACAGGAUUAGAUACCCUGGUAGUCCAUGCCGUAAACGAUGAUUACUAGGUGUGGGGGGACUGACCCCUUCCGUGCCGCAGUUAACACAAUAAGUAAUCCACCUGGGGAGUACGGCCGCAAGGUUGAAACUCAAAGGAAUUGACGGGGGCCCGCACAAGCAGUGGAGUAUGUGGUUUAAUUCGAAGCAACGCGAAGAACCUUACCAGGUCUUGACAUCCAACUAACGAAGUAGAGAUACAUUAGGUGCCCUUCGGGGAAAGUUGAGACAGGUGGUGCAUGGUUGUCGUCAGCUCGUGUCGUGAGAUGUUGGGUUAAGUCCCGCAACGAGCGCAACCCUUGUGAUUAGUUGCUACGCAAGAGCACUCUAAUCAGACUGCCGUUGACAAAAUCGGAGGAAGGUGGGGACGACGUCAAAUCAUCAUGCCCUUUAUGACCUGGGCUACACACGUACUACAAUGGCCAUCAACAGAGGGAAGCAAGACCGCGAGGUGGAGCAAAACCCUAAAAAUGGUCCCAGUUCGGAUUGCAGGCUGCAACCCGCCUGCAUGAAGUUGGAAU